rnacentral:rRNA from 1 species
GUGGGGAAUAUUGGACAAUGGGGGGAACCCUGAUCCAGCCAUGCCGCGUGUGUGAAGAAGGCCUUUUGGUUGUAAAGCACUUUAAGCGAGGAGGAGGCUACCGAGAUUAAUACUCUUGGAUAGUGGACGUUACUCGCAGAAUAAGCACCGGCUAACUCUGUGCCAGCAGCCGCGGUAAUACAGAGGGUGCAAGCGUUAAUCGGAUUUACUGGGCGUAAAGCGCGCGUAGGUGACCAAUUAAGUCAAAUGUGAAAUCCACGAGCUUAACUUGGGAAUUGCAUUCGAUACUGGUUGGCUAGAGUAUGGGAGAGGAUGGUAGAAUUCCAGGUGUAGCGGUGAAAUGCGUAGAGAUCUGGAGGAAUACCGAUGGCGAAGGCAGCCAUCUGGCCUAAUACUGACACUGAGGUGCGAAAGCAUGGGGAGCAAACAGGAUUAGAAACCCGGGUAGUCC